GUGGUCACUUUAGCAGCACAUAUACUCAAAUUGGAACAAUACAGAUAAGAUUAGCAUGGCCUCUGUGCAAAGAUGACAUGCAAACUCAUGAAGCAUUCCAUAUUUUA